GGAUUCGUGCUCGAAGAGAACCUGCACACAGGUGCUGCAUGGCUGUCGUCAGCUCSUGUCGUGAGAUGUUGGGUUAAGUCCCGCAACGAGCGCAACCCUUGUCAUUAGUUGCUACAUUCAGUUGAGCACUCUAAUGAGACUGCCGGUGACAAACCGGAGGAAGGUGGGGAUGACGUCAAGUCCUCAUGGCCCUUAUAGGUGGGGCUACACACGUCAUACAAUGGCUGGUACAGAGGGUUGCCAACCCGCGAGGGGGAGCUAAUCCCAUAAAACCAGUCGUAGUCCGGAUCGCAGUCUGCAACUCGACUGCGUGAAGUCGGAAUCGCUAGUAAUCGCGGAUCAGCAUGCCGCGGUGAAUACGUUCCCGGGUCUUGUACACACCG
rnacentral:rRNA from 1 species